rnacentral:rRNA from 1 species
CGGCAGGCUUAACACAUGCAAGUCGAGGGGCAGCACGGGUAGCAAUACCUGGUGGCGACCGGCGCAAGGGUGCGUAACGCGUGAGCAACAUGCCCUAUACAGGGGGAUAAUCCAGGGAAACUUGGUCUAAUAUCCCAUAGUAUUUAGAGGAGGCAUCUUCUAUAAAUUAAAGCUUCGGUGGUAUAGGAUUGGCUCGCGUGACAUUAGCUAGAUGGUGAGGUAACGGCUCACCAUGGCAAUGAUGUCUAGGGGUUCUGAGAGGAAGGCCCCCACACUGGGACUGAGACACGGCCCAGACUCCUACGGGAGGCAGCAGUGAGGAAUAUUGGACAAUGGAUGGAAAUCUGAUCCAGCCAUGCCGCGUGCAGGAAGACAGCCCUAUGGGUUGUAAACUGCUUUUAUAUGGGAGCAAUAAGGUCUACGUGUAGACUGAUGAGAGUACCAUAUGAAUAAGCAUCGGCUAACUCCGUG